CGGGUAAGAUGCCCACUGGUACAAUAGUGGCAUGAUAUCAGGAGGACUACCCAUUGAUUUCUGACUGGAUUUGAGGCUUGCUCCAUGGGAGGGAACUUAUGCCUGGUACUGUAAACUUGGUUGAAAUCAUAGACCCUGAAGGGGAGCUGCUACCAAAUAGACUUCUUCAUAUAAUGCUUUGGUUUUCCUGAACGAGGACGCUUCAACUGUUUGGAUUCAGUUUUUCAUCUGUAAAAUAGUGGCGUCGAUGUUGCUACGGAGCCUUUGCACAUGGGUCCCAGUCCUGGAGGGCUGGGUGAGGGAGAAGCCGGUGGCAGAGGAAAGUCUUGGGCAGCGGCGAGAACGAAGCAACACCCGGGAGACUGUGUCAGCAGAUAACUCGUUUUAAUAUGGCGAA